rnacentral:rRNA from 1 species
CCUACGGGUGGCAGCAGUAGAGAAUCUUCCACAAUGGGCGCAAGCCUGAUGGUGCGACACCGCGUGAGUGAAGGAGGGUCUCGGCUCGGAAAGCUCUGUUGUUGGAGGAGAACGUGCGUGAGAGUAAAUGUUCACGCAGUGACGGUGUCCAACCAGAAAGUCACGGCUAACUACGUGCCAGCAGCCGCGGUAAGACGUAGGUGGCAAGCGUUAUCCGGAUUUAUUGGGCGUAAAUCGAGCGCAGGCGGUCGCUUAGGUCUGAUGUGAAAGGCUUCGGCUUAACCGACGAAGUGCACCGGAAACCGGGCGACUUGAGUGCAGAAGAGGACAGUGGAACUCCAUGUGUAGCGGUGGAAUGCGUAGAUAUAUGGAAGAACACCAGUGGCGAAGGCGGCUGUCUGGUCUGCAACUGACGCUGAGGCUCGAAAGCAUGGGUAGCGAACAGGAUUAGAUACCCCUGUAGUC